rnacentral:rRNA from 1 species
AGAACGAACGCUGGCGGCAUGCCUAACACAUGCAAGUCGAACGCUUUGCCGGUUUCGGCCGGCAAGGAGUGGCGCACGGGUGAGUAGCGCGUGGGAACCUGCCCUGUUGUGGGGGAUAACCGAGGGAAACUUCGGCUAAUACCGCAUAAGCCGGUUGUCUUGAAAGAGAUGGCCGGGAAAGAUUUAUCGCGACAGGAGGGGCCCGCGUCGGAUUAGCUAGUUGGCGGGGUAACGGCCCACCAAGGCUGUGAUCCGUAGCUGGUCUGAGAGGAUGAUCAGCCACACUGGGACUGAGACACGGCCCAGACUCCUACGGGAGGCAGCAGUGGGGAAUAUUGGACAAUGGGCGCAAGCCUGAUCCAGCAAUGCCGCGUGAGUGAUGAAGGCCUUAGGGUUGUAAAGCUCUUUCGCCCGCGACGAUGAUGACGGUAGCGGGAGAAGAAGCCCCGGCUAACUUCGUGCCAGCAGCCGCGGUAA